CUAACAAGGAUUCCCUUAGUAACGGCGAGUGAACAGGGAUGAGCCCAGCACCGAAGCCUGCGGUCAUUUGACUGCUAGGCAAUGUGGUGUUCAGGUCGUUCCGCAGAGACACAGCCCCACUCUAAGUCCAGCACUGAGUACGGUAAUAAUGACUUGGCCCAAAGAGGGUGAAAGGCCCGUGAGGGUGGGGUUCAGGCUUGACUGUGUCACUCUGGAUAGACCUUGGAGUCGGGUUGUUUGUGAAUGCAGCCCAAAGUGGGUGGUAAACUCCAUCCAAGGCUAAAUACCAACACGAGUCCGAUAGCGAACAAGUACCGUGAGGGAAAGUUGAAAAGUACUUUGAAGAGAGAGUAAACAGUGCGUGAAACCGCUCAGAGGUAAACGGGUGGAGUUGAACUGCAAGCCCAGAGGAUUCAGCUGGUGAGCGUGGUUUGAGCUUGGUCAAAUUGGUUGUACACUGGGGUCUGUGUAGCAGCAGGUCUCUGCCCUCGGGUGGGGAUGCACGAUGCACUCAUCAAGUGUGGUGCGCUCCAGAUGUAUUCGAACCUGUUUGCCAGUGCAUUUUCUCUGGGUGUUCACCAUGACCGGCACUGCUGUCUGGCUGUUGUGGUUAAACCGGUUUUGCAUUGUCCCUGUGGCUUUGCUUGAUCGGGAUGGCAGGUAGCCUGUGGGCUAGUCCAGGGCAACCUGGGCAAUUGGCCUAUGGGUGUAAAUAUCAGCUGACUAUGACGGUUCUGUGCAGUGUGUCGGAGACGGCGGCUUGUGGCGUGAGCAUGCGUGCAUUGCUUGCUGGCUUGUUCGGGUUUGAUUGCUACGUUGCUCGUUCUGCGGGCCUAGUGGUAGCCUGAGCGUGCUCGGCGAGCUGGUGCGUGUGUGACGCUAAUACCAGGGCCAACAGUCUAUGGUGUAGUGGUAGAC
rnacentral:rRNA from 1 species